GGGGAGUUACACUCAUCACCCUGUGACAUACCUAAAACGUUGCUUCGGCGGGAACAGACGGCCCUGUAACAACGGGCCGCCCCCGCCAGAGGACCCCUAACUCUGUUUUUAUAAUGUUUUUCUGAGUAAACAAGCAAAUAAAUUAAAACUUUCAACAACGGAUCUCUUGGCUCUGGCAUCGAUGAAGAACGCAGCGAAAUGCGAUAAGUAAUGUGAAUUGCAGAAUUCAGUGAAUCAUCGAAUCUUUGAACGCACAUUGCGCCCGCCAGUAUUCUGGCGGGCAUGCCUGUUCGAGCGUCAUUACAACCCUCAGGCCCCCGGGCCUGGCGUUGGGGAUCGGCGGAAGCCCCCUGUGGGCACACGCCGUCCCUCAAAUACAGUGGCGGUCCCGCCGCAGCUUCCAUUGCGUAGUAGCUAACACCUCGCAACUGGAGAGCGGCGCGGCCAUGCCGUAAAACACCCAACUUCUGAAUGUUGACCUCGAAUCAGGUAGGAAUACCCGCUGAACUUAAGCAUAUCAAUAGCCCGGAGGAA
rnacentral:rRNA from 1 species